GACCAGCGGAGGGAUCAUUACCGAGUUUACAACUCCCAAACCCCUGUGAACAUACCUUAAUGUUGCCUCGGCGGAUCAGCCCGCGCCCCGUAAAACGGGACGGCCCGCCAGAGGACCCAAACUCUAAUGUUUCUUAUUGUAACUUCUGAGUAAAACAAACAAAUAAAUCAAAACUUUCAACAACGGAUCUCUUGGUUCUGGCAUCGAUGAAGAACGCAGCAAAAUGCGAUAAGUAAUGUGAAUUGCAGAAUUCAGUGAAUCAUCGAAUCUUUGAACGCACAUUGCGCCCGCUGGUAUUCCGGCGGGCAUGCCUGUUCGAGCGUCAUUUCAACCCUCAAGCCCCCGGGUUUGGUGUUGGGGAUCGGCUCUGCCUUCUGGCGGUGCCGCCCCCGAAAUACAUUGGCGGUCUCGCUGCAGCCUCCAUUGCGUAGUAGCUAACACCUCGCAACUGGAACGCGGCGCGGCCAUGCCGUAAAACCCCAACUUCUGAAUGUUGACCUCGGAUCAGGUAGGAAUACCCGCUGAACUUAAGCAUAU
rnacentral:rRNA from 1 species